CGGACGUGAUGUCAACCUGCCAUCCUGACCUGCUGUGGAGGCAAAAAAAAAACUGAUUUAAUGAGGCUGAUCC
rfam:Anas platyrhynchos breed Pekin duck contig97057, whole genome shotgun sequence.